rnacentral:rRNA from 1 species
UACGUAGGGGGCGAGCGUUGUCCGGAUUUAUUGGGCGUAAAGAGCUCGUAGGCGGUUGGGUAAGUCGGGUGUGAAAGUCCAGGGCUCAACCCUGGGAUGCCGGUCGAUACUGGCGGACUAGAGUCCGGAAGAGGCGAGUGGAAUUCCCGGUGUAGCGGUGAAAUGCGCAGAUAUCGGGAGGAACACCAAUGGCGAAGGCGGCAUCCUGGACCGGCAUUGACGCUGAGGCGCGAAAGCUAGGGGAGCAAACGGG